rnacentral:rRNA from 1 species
AACGAACGCUGGCGGCGUGCCUAACACAUGCAAGUCGAGGGAGAAAGCCGCAAGGCGAGUAAACCGGCGAACGGGUGCGUAACACGUGGACAACCUACCUUCUUGACUGGGAUAACUGGCCGAAAGGCUUGCUAAUACCAGAUAAGCCCACGGGGUCUAAGGACCCAGAGGGAAAAUGGCGGCCUCUGUAAACAAGCUGUCACAAGAAGAUGGGUCCGCGGCCCAUCAGCUAGUUGGCGGGGUAACGGCCCACCAAGGCGACGACGGGUA